UUUCAUGGCCUCUAAUGAAAUAUACCCCUCAUUUCUUAGUUUUUUUUUUUAUCUGCCCUCUGCUUCCCAUUUUAUCCCCAAUGAAAGUAAAAAAUCACUUUACUUUCCUUUCUUCAUUCCUUCAGUCCGAGAAACCCAGUCUUUAGUUUCUGCACUCGGCUUUUCUAUUUUUCUUCAUUCCCCAGAAAACCCACACACAAUCUCAUUAAGAAAAAAAAAAAAAAUCCAUGCUCCAUCUCCCUGCAUCUCUUACGUUUUCUCUUGCAAACAUAUGAAAGACUAAGGAAAAAUUGCGUUUGAGUUUAUGGUUAUGAAGGUGAGCGGUAGUUUUGCAGAGGAGCUUCACUUGGAAAGUUUGUAGCAUCAAAUAGAAAGUGAUCUUAUGCCAAGUGCCCGAUGUGACCAAAGUGAUUCUUAUGUGGCAAGGGAUUGGAAUGAGCUAGGGGUGACAAAUUGUGGAAAUGAGACAAAACUCCUAAGUGGAUCAGUUAUCAAGGUGGAUUGCCCAAGGCAUUAUAUGUGGUGAAAGAUGUAUUAACCGGAAUGAGAAAACAUGUUCAUCUGCUGGACAUAACAACUUUAUCACAACUCAGAAAAGAUGCACAUCCUGGCUUUUAUAAUGGCUUUAGGCGCAUGGACUGUAACCAUUGGUGUAUUGCUGGACUUCCAGAUACUUGGAAUCAACCUUUUAUGCAUUCCUCAUAAUUGUCAUGCUUGUUCUGGUAUUUUUAGUUUAUAAAAAUGAUCAUACGGUUGCUUA